rnacentral:rRNA from 1 species
UACGUAGGGUGCGAGCGUUGUCCGGAAUUAUUGGGCGUAAAGAGCUUGUAGGCGGUCUGUCGCGUCUGCUGUGAAAGUCCAGGGCUCAACCCUGGGAUGCCGGUGGAUACUGUCGGGCUCGAGUCCGGAAGAGGAGUGUGGAAUUCCUGGUGUAGCGGUGAAAUGCGCAGAUAUCAGGAGGAACACCAAUGGCGAAGGCAGCACUCUGGGACGUGACUGACGCUGAGACGCGAAAGCGUGGGGAGCAAACAGG